UCCGCAACGAGCGCAACCCUACGUUUAGUUGCUAACAGGUGAAGCUGAGCACUCUAGACGAACUGCCGUUGACAAAACGGAGGAAGGUGGGGAUGACGUCAAAUCAUCAUGCCCCUUAUGUUCUGGGCUACACACGUGCUACAAUGGCCGGUACAGACGGAGGCGAAGCCGCGAGGCGGAGCAAAUCCGAAAAAGCCGGUCUCAGUUCGGAUUGCAGGCUGCAAUUCGCCUGCAUGAAGUCGGAAUCGCUAGUAAUCGCAGGUCAGCAUACUGCGGUCGAAUACGUUCCCGGGCCUU
rnacentral:rRNA from 1 species